GAGUGGACGCAUCACUGGUGUUCGGGUUGUCAUGCCAAUGGCACUGCCCGGUAGCUAAAUGCGGAAGAGAUAAGUGCUGAAAGCAUCUAAGCACGAAACUUGCCCCGAGAUGAGUUCUCCCUGAGACUUUGAGUCUCCUGAAGGAACGUUGAAGACGACGACGUUGAUAGGUCGGGUGUGUAAGCGCAGCGAUGCGUUGAGCUAACCGAUACUAAUGAACCGUGAGGCUUAACCUUACAACGCCGAAGGUGUUU
rnacentral:rRNA from 1 species